GCCGUGAUCGUAUAGUACUGGUAAGUACAUUGCGUUGUGGCCGCAAUAACCCAGGUUCGAAUCCGGGUCACGGCA
rnacentral:tRNA from 1 species